AAGUGAGCAUGGAAAUUUCAUUAUAACAUUAUUUGUUCUAAGAGUAUUAGGUGAGAAUAUAAAAAAUUUUUAGAAAAAAACCCCAUUAUUUGUAAUUGGGAUAAUUGGUGAACAACCGGUGUCAGUCAGAAGCUUAAAGAGGAAUCUAAAUGCAGAGUGGAUUUAUAAAUUACGCCUUCUCAAUAGCAUAUCCUUAUCCUUAAUAAUGAUAAAAAUAUAUGGGACAAUGACAAUGCUCAUGACAUACUGAUGGCAAAACUGUGCCUACAUUGUGAUGACAAUAAAAUAAGCUUAUAUUUGUUUAAAAGAUUUGGAAGGAAAUAUAA